GACGAACCGUGCGAACGUUGUUCGGAAUCACUGGGCUUAAAGGGCGCGUAGGCGGGCCCGAAAGUCAGGGGUGAAAGCCCCCAGCCCAACUGGGGAAGUGCCUUUGAUACUUCGGGCCUCGAGGGAGGUAGGGGCGUGCGGAACUUCCGGUGGAGCGGUGAAAUGCGUAGAUAUCGGAAGGAACGUCGGUGGCGAAAGCGGCGCGCUGGACCUCUUCUGACGCUGAGGCGCGAAAGCCAGGGGAGCAAACGGG
rnacentral:rRNA from 1 species